rnacentral:rRNA from 1 species
AUUGAACGCUGGCGGCAUGCUUUACACAUGCAAGUCGAACGGCAGCGCGGGCUUCGGCCUGGCGGCGAGUGGCGAACGGGUGAGUAAUGCAUCGGAACGUGCCCAGUAGUGGGGGAUAGCCCGGCGAAAGCCGGAUUAAUACCGCAUACGACCUGAGGGUGAAAGCGGGGGACCGAAAGGCCUCGCGCUAUUGGAGCGGCCGAUGUCGGAUUAGCUAGUUGGUGGGGUAAAGGCUUACCAAGGCGACGAUCCGUAGCUGGUCUGAGAGGACGACCAGCCACCCUGGGACUGGAAAACGUCCCGGACCCCAAGGGGAGGCAGCAGUGGGGAAUUUUGGAAAAGGGGGGCAACCCUGAUCCAGCCCGGCCGGGGGGGGGAAGAAGGCCUUCGGGUUGUAAACCGCUUUUGUUCGGGAAGAAAUCCUCUGGGCUAAUACCGCGGGGGAUGACGGUACCGGAAGAAUAAGCACCGGCUAACUACGUG